ACUGGUUCUUUCAGCUCUCCAGCCUGCAGAUAACCAUUAUGGACUAUUCAGCUUCUGAUCAUGCUGUGGAGGAGUACCUUAUAAAUUUUACUUCAGUGCAAGUUACACCCAAAGAGAUGAGCUGUUUUCCAACAGAAGAAGACAGAUGUGAUGACAGAAUAUCUAAAAAUGAGACCCACAUUCAAGGGACCACAAUAGAAGUCUCUAAGAGCUGAGAACAUCUCUUUGUUGGAAUCCAACAGAGAACCAGGGAUCUCAGUCCCACGUCCUCAAGGAGCUGAAUGCAUGAGUUUCAAAGAAGAUGCUGUUCAAACCUCCAGGGAAGGAAUGUAUCAAAUUAAUCUGGUUUUUCACUGGAAAGAGCUGGUUUCUUGAACAGAAGGUUCUAAAAGUGUAUCAAGCUGAUCCCUGGCUGCGAGGGUAUUUGUCCCUGCUGAUAAAUGGCAGCAAAGCCUUGGUGUAAUAAAGUGGUGGCCUGGGUGGAUUGGAACACUGGCUGUAAGUAUGACCCCAGCAGUGUGGUGACCAUCAUGUCGGCAUGGAGGACCUGAGGCACUGCCAAACCAGGUACUGCCAAACAAGGUGUGCCACCUGUCUCCCUUUCUGACUAGGUAUGGGCACCCAGCUGAUACCUGCUGCAGAAGCCCACUCCACACAGUGUUACAGCCAGAAACCGGUGAGCAUAGACCAUUUUAUCAUUUCAACCUCUAGUUUACUGACCUGCAACAGAAGAAGUGGAAGAGGGGCAACCUAAAUGAACGUUGGGACUCAAGAGUUGACUGAUAGUACUUUUCCAAACUCCAAUUAGCAUAAGUUGGAACCAAUGGCAUUGGUACUUUUUUGAAACUCUAAUUAGUAUAGGUUUGGACUAGUAGCAAUUAAUCAAAUGCUAUAUAAGGCCCUAGACUAGCACACUCAGGAGUAGAAAACCUGCUACAGGGGUCCCCUCCUGCAAUGUGAGAGUUCUAUUCCUGUUUGUAUUCUUCAAUAAAUGCUACUCCUAAGAGUCAUCCAACCUGGUCUGUGGAUUUCAUUUUUCCAACUCACAAGACAAGAACCUAGAAACAAGAAAAAAUUGACAGUGAGCUAUUGGGGUCUGAUCCAACACUGGAGAACCUGGUCUACCAGUAAGAGCUGCAACACUUCUCAGUUGCAGAGGCCUGCAACCUUAUGCAGACCCCACCAGUCAGCAGAAGUGGAGAAAUUUCAAUCUCAUCUACCACCCGAAGUGGGGAAUCCAAUUUUAUCUUAAAACUUCAGUUUCACUUCCACAUAUCACUUUGAGAAAUUUGUUCCAAUGAAAGCACAGUGCAGAAAUUCUUGCCCACCCAGGGAUUUUCUUAUGGUAAAAGAAAUGCCCACCUAUUCUUCACAGUAGAAAUAAAUCACAGAUGGCGGUAGAACAUAGAAGCCAGGGAAACCUCAGAUAUAAAAGCAUUCGUGCAUUUUAUUACUUUUAAUUUUUUUUUUAUUGGAUGAGGCUGUUUAGUAAAAGAGCACAAGAAGAAACUGAAUUAUCUGC